rnacentral:rRNA from 1 species
UCAGAACGAACGCUGGCGGCGUGCUUAACACAUGCAAGUCGAGCGCGAACGCCCCCUUCGGGGGGUUAGUAGAGCGGCGCACGGGUGAGUAACACGUGUGGUAAUCUACCAUCUGGUUCGGAAUAACCGGGGGAAACUCGGGCUAAUGCCGGGCGUGACCAUGGAUUGAGAUAUCCGUGGGGAAAGCGGGGGACCUCCUCGGAGGCCUCGCGCCAGAUGAUGAGCCCGCGGACCAUCAGCUAGUUGGCGGGGUAAUGGUCCACCAAGGCAAAGACGGGUAGCUGGUCUGAGAGGAUGAUCAGCCACACUGGAACUGAGAUACGGUCCAGACUCCUACGGGAGGCAGCAGUGGCGAAUUUUGGACAAUGGGCGAAAGCCUGAUCCAGCAACGCCGUGUGAGUGAUGAACGUCUUCGGAUCGUAAAGCUCUGUCGGCAGGAACGAUGCACUUAUCGGCUAAUACCCGGUUAGUGUGACGGUACCUGCAAAGGAAGCACCGGCUAACUCUGUGCCAGCAGCCGCGGUAAGACAGAGGGUGCAAGCGUUGUUCGGAAUUAUUGGGCGUAAUGCGCACGUAGGCGGCAUCGCAAGUCCGAUGUGAAAGCC